CGAAGCCAUGUUUAGACCCAUGUUUAGUUUUAUGUUUUUCAUAUUUCAAGAAGCGGGUAGUGGCUAAAAAACUACCUGUAGCAGGUAAUGGCUUAAAAUAUCACUGUGUAUGUGGAAACUAUUAUUUUUCUUAUGAAUUUUAUAUGUAUAUCUUCGCUCAGUUAUGCAGGUUGCUUACUACUAUUUUCCAUUUUAUGCUCGCAUUUAUUGAGUCAAAUUGACACAAAGAUUUGUGGUUAUCAUGCAAAUCGAUUGCUGUCAGGUAAUUAAAGCAGAGAUUGGUUGCUUGCCUAUAAAAGAUGACAAGAUUGAUGCAAAAGUUGUACAUGAUCAGCUUUUUUAUGACUUUGCUAUUAAAGGUGCACUCGUGCAGCAGGAUGUUAUGGCUCUAGGGAAGGAGGUAUGGCCCUGCAAAUGAGAUGGCACGUCUCUUGGUGAGAAAACAGGAGACAAGGACGAUUUAGUUGGAAUCAGAUAAAAAAUGGGCCUCACAACUUCAAGAGCAACAUUAAAGUGUCUUGAUAAAGGUUUGGCAAGCUGGCCUCAAAUUUAGAGGUACAGACCGUAAACUUACUUGCAGCAUGCCAGCAAAAGUGGUUUCUGCCCUCUGAAAUUGCAUGCUGACAGUGACCGGUUGGUCCUUCUCCGCCACUUUCAGUGUUUCAGACAGCCAUAUCCUCUAGCAAAUGCCGGUUGGAUUGGCUCAAGGAACAAAACCAGAUGAGAUCUCUACUGCAAAAAUUCUUUACAAUGGGAAUAAAUAUCCAAGUUGUUAAUUAAUUUUGUUAUCAGAUUUCCCCAAGAAUGUUGAAACCUAUGUCCACAUGGUAUGCAUACAAUAGAUUGGCAUUUGGAUUUUGGUGUUCUGACUAUGAGGCUUUCUUUCCUUGGUUGGACUAGGAGCGGAACAAUACAUGAGCCUCUUUCAGUAUGAGUAGAACAUGGCCUCAUUUGCAUAUUUUCAGAUGCACUUAUGAGCUCUAGGCUUUAUGAUAAGAUGAGCAUGACAGGGAUAUGACGAUGAACCGGCGACCAUGGAAUUUGACAAGGGCUUCAGGAUAACAUCCAAACUCGACCUGAGCCUUUUUCCCCUCUGGUAAAGCUCCUUCUAGACUGCGAUAUGAUAUACAUUUCCCAUGCAUAUCGUUAUUUUUGGAUUCACCCUGAAGGAUGAUACUUAUGAGCACAUGUUUUACUUUUUUGCUUGGUGCUUAGGCUUCUCCUGCCAGGACUGAGAAUGUGUGACAGAUUUUUUUUAUUAACAUUACAGUUGAAGUUUCAGUGUUGCUUCGGUUCGGUUGCAUCUCUGUUGUGAGCAGAUAUAUAGUACCAUAAAAGCCCUUGUUUAUCUUUGGUUAGUUUGUGUUCAUGGAAAUAAAAGGUUGUCGCAAAACUAUUGCUGCUUCUGUACCUUUUAUUUCUUAAUCCUUUCUUUGUUGUUCUUGUUCUUCAUACAUCGAUGUAGAAAUUCAGCCUCUAGGAUCUUACCAUGAUAUUCAUACGUAUUCUUGUUUCUGGCUAUUUAUGCCUUUUGUAUGGUUGUUUCUUUCCUUUUAAUGUGUAUUUAUACAUGAAAAAAAAGGAUUAGUGCCCAAACGUUGUGCUUUCUCUAAUUUGUUGUCCCUUAUACCUGCUUCUGUGUUGGUCCCUUUUUCCCGUUUCUCGGCAUUGCUUCUGGGUGUUUGUUUCUUGUUUUAUUAUUGAGUUAUUUUCAUGGAAAAAAUGCCUCGGUGCGCACACGUUGGUGUUUCCCACCUUUUCUUUGUUACGCUUGCUUCUAUUUGGUUGCUUCUUGGUUGUGAACAAAUAAAGCUCUCAGAAGUCUUUGUUUCCCUUUAAUUAGUUUUAUUCAUAGAAAUAAAAGGUUGCCGCACAGCAGUUGCUAUUUCUAUACUUUCCCUUUCUUAACUCUGUAGUGUUGUUGUUGUUUUUUGACCAGCUUUAUUACUUGUGCAUUGUGGUUUAGAUGUUGGUUUAUUUCUUUCGCUUGCAUCUGCUUGGUCGUUCUUGUUCUUCCCUGGAGUGUUUUUCUUGAUACAUCUGUGUACGAUUUCCAGCCUCUAUGAUUUACAACGGUAUUCUUACGUGUUCUUAUUUGAUGAUCAUUUGUUGGUUUACCGUUAUGCUUACUUCACAAGGUUAUGAGCUUACUCUUGACUUCUUUGUGCAAGGCCUAUGAGCUUUUAACCUAUGUGGAAACAUUCCCGGUUCUUCACAAGGUAAUGUCAGCAUCUCUGUAUAAGUUAGAUCUGAUGAUCCUUCAAAUGAAAGGUUAUAUAUGGUUAUCUGACACCUUCUGCUUCUCUAUCUGCAAAAUUAUUAGUUAGAUUAUUGAUUAUUAGGGCCAAUAGUCGUUCACUUCAUCAUUGGGUAAACGCAUUAGCUGUUGGCAUGUCCUUCUGCUCAAACUGGAUAUAUCUUUUAUUUGAA